UAAGAAAUGUCUCAUUUGUGUAUUUUAAAGGAAAGAGCCCUGCAAGUGUCCACGUACUCGGGGAGCAGCAGCGACACCGAGACUGAACCCGAGGGAACUGGAAGCUCACCCCAAAGGACCCUGAUCAACAGAUCUAAGAAGAAUGACUCAGUCGACCAGAAUGAGGAGACCCUGAAGCGAAGCAGUGUGGAGAAAUCCUUGUUGAUCAUGGACUACUACCAACACGAUACAUACUCACAUCUGGAAAAGGACAGCAGGAGGAUUUCCCAGUACAACCUGUUGCACAAGGAGUCAUCCCUGGAUGGCAAAGCAAGAGACAGACUCAGUAAGGAGAUUCCCAUGGAGAAGACGCCCGUCAGUGCCCAGCCCGGCUCUCUCGACUUCUCUUUGGAGUCCCUGAACAACCUGAAUCACAGCAGCUCCAGCAGCAGCAGCCUGUACCCGGACACAAGCUUAGGCAGCCGCAGAGUAGACUGCCACGCUGACGCAGGAAAGAGCAGGGAGGACUACUGCAAGGUGGACGAGCCCUCCUCCUCCAGUUUCUCUAGCAAGCCUGGGGCGGAUCCUGUGGGCUCCCUCAGCGACUCGCUGUACGACAGCUUCUCCUCCUGCACCAGCCAGGGCUCCAACGAGGUGUAGGGGCAACAAGUAAGAAGGCAGGGCUGUAGCGCUAGAGUCCAGUCUCAAAUCUGGUUUUCAGACCAGUCCUCUAAAAUCUUGUGUCUUUCCUUUUUUGAAUUAUCUUCUGAGUGGAUUUUCAGGUAGAUUUUCAUCUGAACCUUUAGAACUCCUAAGCAUUGGUAUUUGCAUCUGCAAGUAAAACAAAUACUUAAAUUGGACUUGGUUUGUUCUGGCAUUGGUCUCAACACCCUUUGGAUCUGGACUACUGCCCUGCCACAACAUGUGGAGCCCUGUCCUCUCUACAUACAACACAAAGCACUUAGUGGAGCUGGAGACACGAGGAUGAAACCUAAACCCAAACACCAAACCAUGGACUUUUGAUAGUUUGACUCUGGGUGUGGUGGAUUGGACAGCAAUACACAACGUUGUUUUAUUGCAUUUUUUUCUCCCCAUGCUGGGGAACUUCUUAUCAUUGCACUGUAACAAAUACUGUACAAAGUUUGUAAGGAGUGUAAAGUGAACGAUUAUUCAAGCAGUGAUAAGCAGGGCGUUUUUUUGGGGCAACGCUGAUGGGCAACACUGGUGUACAGUUGCAACAAAAUUGUUGCUUUGAUUGCAUUCCUAUUUGCUAGGAAAAAAAAGAUUUAAAUCUAAGGUGUCAUUUUAUGUUUUGCUGCUAAGUACGUUGCCCAGUUGCCUAUCUCGUCUUUGUGUUAUUUUGAGCCGUUAUGCAGCUGAUAAUGGCAAAGAAAACCGACAAUUCAGCUAUCAAUACUCAUUUCUUGCUGCAUAUUAUCUAAUGAUGUCAACUGAAGCAAAGCAUACUAUGUUUCCACGUGGUAUAUUAACUAAUAAGAUGAUUUCUCAGUGUCUGACAGGUACAGCAAACAACCAACAUUUUGGUAGCUCAGGGAACAUACUGGACUAAUAUAGAUUGUAAGAUUUAAACUGCAGUCAUCAGGAAAAUGUCGACUAACGCAAAUAACUCAGUAAUCUUUUGCUUUUUUGAGUUCCUCAUGCUAAACUCCAAUCCAAACAGCCUAGUUUAUAGUCUCAUGUAGCGUACCUGAACUCUCCACACCUCAGUUUUCCUUUCAUAGUUGUAUAUUAUGUUGUAUAUAAAAUUGCUAUAAGUUAAUAUCAGAAUGGGCAUUGCUGAUUGAUAUAUGCAAAUGAGAGAAAAAAAUAUGUAAAUUGUUUGCCAAUCAUUCAACCGAGGUUUUAAGUCUACUGUUUGAAAAUGUCUUUUUUCUGAUGGAAUUCUUUAGGGGUUCUUGUUUAAAGCAAAAUCUUUAUUUUGAUCAAUAAGAGCUAAUACUAAAAUAUUUUAUCACUUAUGACGUUAUGACAAAUUUCUACCUGGAAUUUGACCAGCUGGUGCUAAUCAACAGAGCCGACUGUGUGUUUCAAUUUUUCUAUGAAACUGUUAAUAUUGUAUGAAGAGAGUCUGAAAAGGACUUGUGUAUUUUUCUAGAUGUCCAGUAUUUAUACCCACAUUUUGUACUGUCAGACUGUAGUGUGAUUAUCAUGCUUCACCUCUCUCCUUAAAUGUUCCUGGUUCCUUUGUAAAGAGAAAUGGUUACCAGCAGUGUUACUUUGGUAAUUAUUAUUAAUGUUAUUGUUAUUAUUAUUACUGUGUGCAAUUUUGUCUGUUACACCAGACUUUUAUGCUAUAUUUUAUGUAACUAUUUCCUAAAUAAAUAUGAGAA
rnacentral:lncRNA from 1 species